GAUGAAGAACGUAGCGAAAUGCGAUAAGUAAUGUGAAUUGCAGAAUUCAGUGAAUCAUCGAAUCUUUGAACGCACAUUGCGCCCCUUGGUAUUCCGAGGGGCAUGCCUGUUCGAGCGUCAUUAUAACCCCUCAAGCUCAGCUUGGUGUUGGGGCCUGCUGCACUGGCAGCCCUUAAAAUCAGUGGCGGCGCCGUCUGGCUCUAAGCGUAGUUAUUCUUCUCGCUAUGGAGUCCUGGUGGAUGCUUGCCAUCAACCCCCAAUUUUUCUAUGGUUGACCUCGGAUCAGGUAGGGAUACCCGCUGAACUUAAGCAUAUCAAUAAGCGGAGGA
rnacentral:misc_RNA from 1 species